GCUGGCGGCAGGCCUAACACAUGCAAGUCGAACGGAUCCUUCGGGAUUAGUGGCAGACGGGUGAGUAACGCGUGGGAAGCUACCUUGUGGUAGGGAACAACAGUUGGAAACGACUGCUAAUACCCUAUGAGCCCUAUGGGGGAAAGAUUUAUCGCCAUGAGAUGUGCCCGCGUUAGAUUAGCUAGUUGGUAAGGUAAUGGCUUACCAAGGCGACGAUCUAUAGCUGGUCUGAGAGGAUGAUCAGCCACACUGGGACUGAGACACGGCCCAGACUCCUACGGGAGGCAGCAGUGGGGAAUAUUGGACAAUGGGGGCAACCCUGAUCCAGCCAUGCCGCGUGAGUGAUGACGGCCUUAGGGUUGUAAAGCUCUUUCAGCAGUGAAGAUAAUGACAUUAACUGCAGAAGAAGCCCCGGCUAACUUCGUGCCAGCAGCCGCGGUAAUACGAAGGGGGCUAGCGUUGUUCGGAAUCACUGGGCGUAAAGCGUACGUAGGCGGACUGAUCAGUCAGGGGUGAAAUCCCGGGGCUCAACCCCGGAACUGCCUUUGAUACUGUCAGUCUUGAGAUCGAGAGAGGUGAGUGGAACUCCGAGUGUAGAGGUGAAAUUCGUAGAUAUUCGGAAGAACACCAGUGGCGAAGGCGGCUCACUGGCUCGAUACUGACGCUGAGG
rnacentral:rRNA from 1 species